rnacentral:rRNA from 1 species
CACUAAGCGGAGGAAAAGAAACUAACUAGGAUUCCCCUAGUAACGGCGAGUGAACGGGGAUGAAGCCCAGCGCCGAAGCCUCCGUCCCUUCGCGGGGCGGCGUGCAAUGUGGCGUUUGGGGGGAGCCCCUCCGCCGGUUCGCGGGAGCCCAAGUCCCCCUGACCGGGGCCACUGCCCAUGGCGGGUGCUAGGCCCUUGCGGCUCUCCGCGGCCGGAGGAUGGCUCUUCUCCCGGGAGUCGGGUUGCUUGGGAGUGCAGCCCUAAGUGGGUGGUAAACUCCACCUAAGGCUAAAUACGGCCACGAGACCGAUAGCAAACAAGUACCGUGAGGGAAAGUUGCAAAGAACUUUGAAGAGAGAGUUCAAGAGUACGUGAAACCGCUCGGAGGCAAACGGGUGGGACCUCGAAGGUCGAAACGGGGGAUUCAACCCGUCGGUUUACUGGUUGCGGGCCUCUGUCUAUGAAAGGAUCUUUAACGGACCGGAUGGAGGCUGCGGCAACCGCCGUCGGGCGCACUUCCCCCUUAGUAGGACGCUGCGACCGGUUGGGAGAAGCAGUGGCGGCCAUGCGGCGAGGCAGGGCAGGUAUCCAUGCCGGUCGGCGACCCCCGAUAUCCUCGGGGAAUCGCUCCGGUCGGAGUUAUAGCUCGCUUCGUCCCGGCUCCGCUACCCAACCGAGGAGAGCGAAUUCGUUUUUCGAGACCCGCGUCCCGCGCUAAAAUGCGCACGGGCCAUCCGGCAGGAUGGGUUCGUACCCGCUGGCCCGCACUCUGCGGCGGUCAGUGGUGGCGGCCCGCCGUUGGCACGGAUGUUGCUCCCGUAGAGGCGCUCGUGGUCUGCGGCGAGUAGGUCGGUUCCCCACCCGACCCNNNNNNNNNNNNNNNCCAAGGAGUCUAACAUGUGCGCGAGUCGUAGGGUUACGCUCAAAGCCCGAAGGCGCAAUGAAAGUGAAGGUCGGCCUCGAUUGCCGUUUACCUAGGCGGGAUCCGUUCGGGCUUACCGGUCGUUCGCGGCUGAGCCCGGCGGCGCACCGCCGGCCCGUCUCGACCGCAUCGCCGGUGAGGCGGAGCGAGAGCGUACACGUUGGGACCCGAAAGAUGGUGAACUAUGCCCGGGCAGGACGAAGCCAGAGGAAACUCUGGUGGAGGUCCGUAGCGAUUCUGACGUGCAAAUCGAUCGUCGGACCUGGGUAUAGGGGCGAAAGACUAAUCGAACCAUCUAGUAGCUGGUUCCCUCCGAAGUUUCCCUCAGGAUAGCUGGUGCUCGAGGAGGGCAGUCUCAUCCGGUAAAGCGAAUGAUUAGAGGCCUUGGGGCCGAAACGACCUCAACCUAUUCUCAAACUUUCAAUGGGUGAGAAGUCCGGCUUGCUUGACUGAAGCCCGGACGUCGGAUGCGAGCGCCCAGUGGGCCACUUUUGGUAAGCAGAACUGGCGCUGUGGGAUGAACCAAACGCCGGGUUACGGCGCCCGAUGCGGACGCUCAUAAGACCCCAUGAAAGGUGUUGGUUGCUAUAGACAGCAGGACGGUGGCCAUGGAAGUCGGAA